rnacentral:rRNA from 1 species
UGGGGAAUUUUGGACAAUGGGCGAAAGCCUGAUCCAGCAAUGCCGCGUGUGUGAAGAAGGCCUUCGGGUUGUAAAGCACUUUUGUCCGGAAAGAAAUCCUUGGCUCUAAUACAGUCGGGGGAUGACGGUACCGGAAGAAUAAGCACCGGCUAACUACGUGCCAGCAGCCGCGGUAAUACGUAGGGUGCAAGCGUUAAUCGGAAUUACUGGGCGUAAAGCGUACGCAGGCGGUUUUGCUAAGACCGAUGUGAAAUCCCCGGGCUCAACCUGGGAACUGCAUUUGGUGACUGGCAGGCUAGAGUAUGGCAGAGGGGGGUAGAAUUCCACGUGUAGCAGUGAAAAUGCGUAGAGAUGUGGAGGAAUACCGAUGGCGAAGGCAGCCCCCUGGGCCAAUACUGACGCUCAUGCACGAAAAGCGUGGGGGAGCAAACAGGAUUCAGAUACCCUGGUAGUCCCACGCCCUAAAACGAUGUCAACUAGUUGUUGGGGAUUCAUUUCCUU